GACGAACGCUGGCGGCGUGCCUAAUACAUGCAAGUAGAACGCUGAAGGAGGAGCUUGCUUCUCUGGAUGAGUUGCGAACGGGUGAGUAACGCGUAGGUAACCUGCCUGGUAGCGGGGGAUAACUAUUGGAAACGAUAGCUAAUACCGCAUAAUAGCAGUUGUUGCAUGACAACUGUUUGAAAGGUGCAAUUGCACCACUACCAGAUGGACCUGCGUUGUAUUAGCUAGUUGGUGGGGUAACGGCUCACCAAGGCGACGAUACAUAGCCGACCUGAGAGGGGGUCCGGCACCGUGGGGACGGAUACGCGCCCAACCCCCCUCGGGGGGACGGAAGGGGGAAUUCUUCGGAAAGGGCUGGAAGUCUGACCGAGCAGCGCCGCGAGAGAGAAGAGUGUUUUGGUAUCGUAAAGUUUGGUUGAAGGAGAAGAACGAGUGGGGGAGGGAAAAGUUCACAUUGGGACGGUACCUAACAAGAAGGGGACGGCUAACUCGGUC
rnacentral:rRNA from 1 species